CCUACGGGUGGCAGCAGUAGGGGAUCUUGCACAAUGGGGGGAACCCUGAUGCAGCGACGCCGCGUGGGUGAAGAAGUGCCUCGGCGCGUAAAGCCCUGUCAGCCGGGAAGAACAUGACGGUACCUGAAGAAGAAGCCCCGGCUAACUACGAGCCAGCAGCCGCGGUAAUACGUAGGGGGCAAGCGUUAUCCGGAUUUACUGGGUGUAACGGGGGCGCAGACGGCGAUGCAAGCCUGGAGUGAAAGCCCGUGGCCCAACCCCGGGACUGCUCUGGGAACUGAGUGGAUGGAGUGCAGGAGUGGCAGGCGGAAUUCCUGGUGUAGCGGUGAAAUGCGUAGAUAUCAGGAGGAACACCAGUGGCGAAGGCGGCCUGCUGGACUGCAACUGACGUUGAGGCCCGAAAGCGUGGGGAGCAAACAGGAUUAGAUACCCCAGUAGUC
rnacentral:rRNA from 1 species